CAGUAGCCGCGGUAAUACGAAGGGUGCAAGCGUUAAUCGGAAUUACUGGGCGUAAAGCGUACGCAGGCGGUUUGUUAAGUCAGAUGUGAAAUCCCCGAGCUUAACUCGGGAACUGCAUUUGAAACUGGCAGGCUAGAGUCUCGUAGAGGGGGGUAGAAUUCCAGGUGUAGCGGUGAAAUGCGUAGAGAUCUGGAGGAAUACCGGUGGCGAAGGCGGCCCCCUGGACGAAGACUGACGCUCAGGUACGAAAGCGUGGGGAGCAAACAGGAUUAGAUACCCCAGUAGUCCCUGUCUCUUAUAC
rnacentral:rRNA from 1 species